UAGCAUAUCAAUAAGCGGAGGAAAAGAAACUAACAAGGAUUCCCCUAGUAACUGCGAGUGAAGCGGGAAAAGCUCAAAUUUAAAAUCUGGUGGUCUUUGGCCAUCCGAGUUGUAAUUUAGAGAAGCGUUUUCCGCGCUGGACCGUGCACAAGUCUCCUGGAAUGGAGCGUCAUAGAGGGUGAGAAUCCCGUCUUUGGCAUGGACACACCAGGGCUUUUGUGAUGCGCUCUCGAAGAGUCGAGUUGUUUGGGAAUGCAGCUCAAAAUGGGUGGUGAACUCCAUCUAAAGCUAAAUAUUGGCGAGAGACCGAUAGCGAACAAGUACCGUGAGGGAAAGAUGAAAAGCACUUUGGAAAGAGAGUGAAACAGUACGUGAAAUUGUUGAAAGGGAAACGCUUGAAGUCAGUCGCGUCGACCGAGACUCAGCCUUGCCUCGGCUUGGUGUACUUCUCGGCUGACGGGUCAGCAUCAAUUUUGCCCCUUGGAUAAUGGCGAGGGAAAUGUGACACCUUUACGGUGUGUUAUAGUCUCUCGUCGCAUGCAAGGGUUGGGAUUGAGGAACUCAGCACGCACCUUUGGGUGUCGGGGCUUUGCCCACGAUACGUGCUCAGGAUGUUGGCGUAAUGGCUUUAAACGACCCGUCUUGAAACACGGACCAAGGAGUCUAACAUGCCUGCGAGUGUUCGGGUGGAAAACCCGUGCGCGCAAUGAAAGUGAAAGUUGGGACCUCCGUCGUGGAGGGCACCGACGCCCGGACCAGACCUUCUGUGACGGCUCUGCGGUAAAGCAUGUAUGUUAGGACCCGAAAGAUGGUGAACUAUGCCUGAAUAGGGUGAAGCCAGAGGAAACUCUGGUGGAGGCUCGUAGCGAUUCUGACGUGCAAAUCGAUCGUCAAAUUUGGGUAUAGGGGCGAAAGACUAAUCGAACCAUCUAGUAGCUGGUUCCUGCC
rnacentral:rRNA from 1 species